AGUGAACGCUGGCGGUGGGCCUAACACAUGCAAGUCGAACGACAGCACAGUAAGCGCUUGCCCUUACGGGUGGCGGGUGACGGGCGGGUAAGGAAUACAUAAGCAUCUACUAUUUCGUGGAGGAUAACGGGGGACCACUUACGCUAAUACCGCAUACGACCAACGGGUGAGAGCAAUGGUUAUUCACGCCUUUCGCGAUUCAUUUAGCUGAAGUCGGAUUAGCUAGUUGGCGUGGUAAAGGCACACCAAGGCGACGAUCCGUAGCGUGGCUGAGAGGAUGAUCAGCCACACUGGAACUGAGACACGGUCCAGACUCCUACGGGAGGCAGCAGUGGGGAAUAUUGGGCAAUGGGCGCAAGCCUGAUCGAGCAACACCGCGUGGGUGAAGAAGGCCUUCGGGUUGUAAAGCCCUUUUGUUAGGAAAGAAAAACUGCAGAUGAAUACAUCGCUGUCUUGACGGUACCCAAAGAAUAAGCACCGGCUAACUUCGUG
rnacentral:rRNA from 1 species